AAGGUGAGUGGUGCAUGAGUAAUCUACCUCAAACUUUGGGAUAACGUUUGGAAACAGGCGCUAAUACCAGAUAAGGUGCAGGGGGGCAACCCCCUGCAUGAAAGAAGGGGACCUAGUGAUAGGCCUUUUGGUUGGAGAGGAGCUCAUGGGAUAUCAGCUUGUUGGUGAGGUAAAGGCUCACCAAGGCUAAGACGUCUAGGCGGACUGAGAGGUUGACCGCCAACACUGGAACUGAGACACUGUCCAGACUCCUACGGGAGGCUGCAGUCGAGAAUCUUUCGCAAUGGGCGAAAGCCUGACGAAGCGACGCCGUGUGAACGAUGAAGGCCUUCGGGUUGUAAAGUUCUUUCGCCUAGAAACAAGAGAUAGGGUGUAAUACACUCUUGAUUUGAGGGUACUAGGUAAAGAAGCACCGGCUAACUCCGUGCCAGCAGCUGCGGUAAUACGGAGGGUGCGAGCAUUAAUCGGAAUUACUGGGCGUAAAGGGCGCGUAGGCGGGAUUGUAAGUCAGAUGUGAAAUUCCAACGCUUAACGUUGGAGCUGCUUCUGAAACUACUUUUCUUGAGGAUAAGCGGGAGAAAACGGAAUUCCAUGUGUAGCGGUGAAAUGCGUAGAUAUA
rnacentral:rRNA from 1 species